UACGUAGGGUACGAGCGUUAAUCGGAAUUACUGGGCGUAAAGCGUGCGCAGGCGGUUUUGUAAGCCAGAUGUGAAAUCCCCGGGCUUAACCUGGGAAUGGCAUUUGGGACUGCAAGGCUUGAGUGCGGCAGAGGAGACUGGAAUUCCUGGUGUAGCAGUGAAAUGCGUAGAUAUCAGGAGGAACACCGAUGGCGAAGGCAGGUCUCUGGGCUGACACUGACGCUCAUGCACGAAAGCGUGGGGAGCAAACAG
rnacentral:rRNA from 1 species